GACGAACGCUGGCGGCGUGCUUAACACAUGCAAGUCGAACGAAAAGAGGGAAAGAGCUUGCUCUUUCCGGAAUUGAGUGGCAAACGGGUGAGUAACACGUAAACAACCUGCCUUCAGGAUGGGGACAACAGACGGAAACGACUGCUAAUACCGAAUAAGUUCCAAGGGCCGCAUGGCCCAUGGAAGAAAAGGUGGCCUCUACCUGUAAGCUAUCGCCUGAAGAGGGGUUUGCGUCUGAUUAGCUGGUUGGAGGGGUAACGGCCCACCAAGGCGACGAUCAGCAGCCGGUCUGAGAGGAUGAACGGCCACACUGGAAUUGAGACACGGUCCAGACUCCUACGGGAGGCAGCAGUGGGGAAUCUUCCGCAAUGGGCGAAAGCCUGACGGAGCAACGCCGCGUGAGUGAUGACGGCCUUCGGGUUGUAAAACUCUGUGAUCCGGGACGAAAAGGCAGAGUGCGAAGAACAAACUGCAUUGACGGUACCGGAAAAGCAAGCCACGGCUAACUACGUG
rnacentral:rRNA from 1 species